rnacentral:rRNA from 1 species
UACGGGCGGCAGUGGGGAAUAUUGGACAAUGGGCGAAAGCCUGAUCCAGCCAUGCCGCGUGUGUGAAGAAGGCCUUCGGGUUGUAAAGCACUUUCAGUGGGGAAGAAAGCCUUGGGGCUAAUACCCUCGAGGAAGGACAUCACCCACAGAAGAAGCACCGGCUAACUCCGUGCCAGCAGCCGCGGUAAUACGGAGGGUGCGAGCGUUAAUCGGAAUUACUGGGCGUAAAGCGCGCGUAGGCGGUCUGAUAAGCCGGUUGUGAAAGCCCCGGGCUCAACCUGGGAACGGCAUCCGGAACUGUCAGGCUAGAGUGCAGGAGAGGAAGGUAGAAUUCCCGGUGUAGCGGUGAAAUGCGUAGAGAUCGGGAGGAAUACCAGUGGCGAAGGCGGCCUUCUGGACUGACACUGACGCUGAGGUGCGAAAGCGUGGGUAGCAAACAGGAUUAGAUACCCUGGUAGUC